AUUUUAUACUAAUUGACACGAAGCAAGUACACUAACGCUAACGCUAGUAUUACUUCAUUACGAGAGUUGCAUAAUUUCUCUGCUUCUAUGUUCCGUGCAUCUAUAGAAUCAAUUAGUCCCUGUUACUGUGUGCUUGGAGUAGUGUUUACUUCAGUUUCCUCCAAUUCAACAAAGAGAAGAAGAAGGAGCAUGGAUCUGGUAGAGAAGAUCGGAACAUGGAGAAAACGGAGGCUAGCAUCAUACAACCAACUAGUUACUUCACCUUACUUCACCCAUUCAACGGAGGCAAGGCAAAGAAUUAUGUGGCGGAGAAAUAGAGAAUAACAUCACCUAUGUGGAUCUUAAGAAGGUCGGUUUCGACGGCCUUUCUUUUCACGCUAAAUUCCCCAUCAGGAAUCCUUACUUUGUUUCUAUUCCAUCAUGGAGAUCGAUUACUCGCUCAAAAGCGCCUUAAGCGAGCUGCUUGCUCUUCUUCAGAUGGAAGGCAGCUUUUGGAAUCAUCUAAAAUAGAGACUGAGGUAAUUGAUUUUUUGUUUAAAAAAAGUUGUGUAUUACAUUCUCCAUUCUUCCUAUUAAAACCUUCUACUGUAAAGAAACCAAAUUAUUUUGGUGGCUUCACAACUCCAUUGCUUCUUAGAUUUCUUCGUUCUGUUUGUCUUGGAUAUACCUAGAAAAUAUUUGAAUUAGAAGAAAAAAAUAAGGGAAAUCCUGGUGAGGAAUCAUAUAUAUUUUUGUAUACCUUAUGACUAAUGCUGCAAAUUUUUGUAGUGCAAUCAUGCUCUUCCUAAGCUGGUUGCAGUAUAUGGUCUGCAUCAACUGAAAUCUGGAGCUUAUAGAAUUCUUGCUGUUGUUCUGUAUCACAUCAGUAAUUUUAAUCAGGUGUUCAUUCUUUAGAAGCUCGUCAACAUAGACCUCCUUAAUCCUAAAUUGUAACCUUUUAUGUCUGCUUUAUUACUCUGACCUCGAUCUAUAUGUAUUGAUGUUGGUGGUAUCCACAACAGGCUAUACAAAGAGAGAGAAAUCAGAGAGUUUUAGAUGGAACUAAGAAGAGUUUUGUACACUUGAAGAGUAGCCUCUCAUCCCUUAUUACCUCUUGCUGCACCCACGGGAUUCUGUAGGUAUAGAAGAUAGGGUGUCGUUCGUAGAAAGCCAUAUCUUUUAUACAAAAGUAUAAUUCUGUAUAUGGGGCCCAGAUAGAAGAUUAGGACCAGAGGUAUAGCCUGAUUCCGCCACACCCUCCACCAGACCAUUUGGACGGCGAGCAUGAGUACAUGGGUUGGUAUCGCAGAGUUACCCGAAUUCUCGCCGGUAAUCCUGUUCAUCGCAUUGGUGGUCGGUACAUCCCAUACACCGGGAGGCAUGAGGCACUGGCUAUUGGCUUACACCAGUUCUACCAGUUGGGACUGGAGAUGCUACAGCAUACAAGCGAAGGAGCGGUAGUUGUCCAGGGUUUGGCCGUCGGGUUACUGAUCUUGGUGCUGACACAUUUAGACGUGCCCGAGAGGAUGGGCCCUUAGGAUACGAGGCUGCUUAUGUGCCGCCCGAGGAGUACCAUCAUGGGCCACAAGUAGACCCUGAACGUAGUAGACGUGGAAGGAGUGGCCAGAGAGGAAGGGGUGGCCCACGUGGUCGUAGUGGUCGGCGAAGAUGGGGUCCCCAGCAAGGGGGCGUUGAGGCACCCGUGGAGGAUAUUGUAGCUGAUCAGUCGGGUGACUACCCUGAGCCACACGAUGCUUCUUAUGAUCUGCCGCCAUUCAUCCUUCAACUGUCACAAAGGACUUUGCAGGUGACCCUGUCAGCUCCAGUGUUGAUCACGGGCACGGCCAUUACGCAGCAAAAGUGGGAUCAGCAUUUUCCUGAUCGUCCAGAACCAUCGACAGUUGCUGUUGAUCGUCCGAUAUGAGAUGUUCAUAGUGGGAGACGUCUAAGUUAUGGCUCAUCACCGAAGGCUGCUGAGGAUCUUUCAGGCAUAGAUAGGGAUACAUCACAUCGGGGCGAGACGCCAUAGCCUUCAUCUACUCCAGUACACCUCGAUAUUCCGAUAGAGCAUUGUGUCGCUACUCAGGCACAAGUUUGUUUGUAUUACUAUUAUUUCAAUUUGUUUUUACCUUAGAGAUUGGUCAGUAAUAUCUGAAGUGUUUAUAUUUUUUUAAAGAUUUCAUCAUCGCCCAUUACGGAGGCCACAUUGUGUGAUACUAACUUGCCAUAUACGAAUGAUCUUAUUCAGGAGCACGCUGAGACCAUGGUUACUAAUGGCCCAACGGCUUCUUCUAUCGAGGCUGCCAGCCUUAUUGACGAUCACGCUGCAGCACAUCCUCCGAUAAAGAGGCAACGUGAUAAGGAUGAUCCUGAUAGCGUUGCCGCGCCGGAUGGGAUGCGCCUCAGACCAGCCAUUGCUUUAAAGAAUACAUACUGUGGGACUCUUUGAUAUGUAUUCUGAGUUGUAUAUAUGACAUUAAAUAUAUA